rnacentral:rRNA from 1 species
AGUGGGCUGCAAAAGAAGUAGGUAGUUUAACCUUCGGGGGGACGCUUACCACUUUGUGGUUCAUGACUGGGGUGAAGUCGUAACAAGGUAGCGCUAGGGGAACCUGGCGCUGGAUCACCUCCUUAAACGAUGAU